rnacentral:rRNA from 1 species
GUUGAACGCUGGCGGCAGGCCUAACACAUGCAAGUCGAACGGUAACAGGAAGAAGCUUGCUUCUUUGCUGACGAGUGGCGGACGGGUGAGUAAUGUCUGGGAAACUGCCUGAUGGAGGGGGAUAACUACUGGAAACGGUAGCUAAUACCGCAUAACGUCGCAAGACCAAAGAGGGGGACCUUCGGGCCUCUUGCCAUCGGAUGUGCCCAGAUGGGAUUAGCUAGUAGGUGGGGUAACGGCUCACCUAGGCGACGAUCCCUAGCUGGGCUGAGAGGAUGACCAGACACACUGGAACUGAGACGCGGUCCAGACUCCUACGGGAGGCAGCAGUGGGGAAUAUUGCACAAUGGGCGCAAGCCUGAUGCAGCCAUGCCGCGUGUAUGAAGAAGGCCUUCGGGUUGUAAAGUACUUUCAGCGGGGAGGAAGGGAGUAAAGUUAAUACCUUUGCUCAUUGACGUUACCCGCAGAAGAAGCACCGGCUAACUCCGUGCCAGCCGCCGCGGUAA